UCAAGGUGCUAUUUUCAGGAAGUUGGAGAGGGGCAAGGGUAUCAAAAUCAAGGUUAUUUUGAAAUUACAUUACAACUUCAAAGCCUGAUCCUGCCGCUACUGCAGUCCGUGGCAGGAUCAACUCCUUACCAAGGAGUUACUUAUUGUAACUCCACCACACAGUACAAAAUAAUUUUGCAUUAGCAGAGAGAUGAACUUGAUGGAUGGAAUAUGUCUUUUUUUAGAAUGCUGAGAAAAUAUAGGAAGUGAUUUUUUCUGAAAAGUCUAAUGGUUAUCUACAGAAGCUAGGGUAACACAUGCCUCUCCCCUACAGCAGCAGCAUCUCAACCCAUCUGGAGGAGAGAGAGAAGAUGUUGUUGUAAUUCAACCCUUGUGCAUAAGCAACCUUUCAGGAAUCCGUACAAUGUGGUCACAACAGGGACAUUUCCUUUGGAGGGAAUUCAACCACAUUUUGAUCAAACAGUCAUAUUUGAUCCCUAAUUUUUUCCGCACUGGGAGUCUGAUUUCUCCAUCAUGGAAAAUCAUAUAUUAGCAUGAAGGAAAAGACUGCAGUAUUUCAGGCACCACAGUGUGGUAACUGCUGGCCAAAAAGGAAUAUUAUACAUGGUGACCCCUCCAAGGAAGGAAGAUAUGGUACUAGGUACUUAUAUAUAACUAUGAACUUUGUUGAAAAGUAAUGAGUGAGAAACAAACCUACUGUUUCUACAAAGGCACAGGCCUCGUGUUACAGCUGAGUUUGCCCCCGAUUUGCGCAGUAUUUUAAUACACCUUUGUACCUCCCAAUCCUGGGACCCAAGACAAUUCUGAAUGUAGCCAAAGGGCCACUAUGGAAGCUAGGGAUCAGCAUGGCACAGCAGAAUCCAGACACUCCCAUUUCCCCCAAUCCAGGCUUUAUCUCUAACAUCACUUUUUCUAUUCCUUCUGAGUAAAAGCUAUUUUUUUUUUAAAAUCAUUUUUUCUUUUGAGUUAACUGGAGAUAUGUCUAAACUGAAAUUGGAUUGAUCCAGUUCUAU